GUGCACGCUGGCGGUAGGCCUAACACAUGCAAGUCGCACGGCAGCACAGUAAGAGCUUGCUCUUACGGGUGGCGAGUGGCGGACGGGUGAGGAAUACAUCGGAAUCUACUUUUUCGUGGGGGAUAACGCAGGGAAACUUACGCUAAUACCGCAUACGACCUACGGGUGAAAGCAGGGGAUCUUCGGACCUUGCGCGAUUGAAUGAGCCGAUGUCGGAUUAGCUAGUUGGCGGGGUAAAGGCCCACCAAGGCGACGAUCCGUAGCUGGUCUGAGAGGAUGAUCAGCCACACUGGAACUGAGACACGGUCCAGACUCCUACGGGAGGCAGCAGUGGGGAAUAUUGGACAAUGGGCGCAAGCCUGAUCCAGCCAUACCGCGUGGGUGAAGAAGGCCUUCGGGUUGUAAAGCCCUUUUGUUGGGAAAGAAAAGCAGCAGGUUAAUACCCCGCUGUUCUGACGGUACCCAAAGAAUAAGCACCGGCUAACUUCGUG
rnacentral:rRNA from 1 species